rnacentral:lncRNA from 1 species
ACCUUUUCAGACCAGCUAUGAUUGUGCAGAACAGGCCAGCACUACACUGCAGACUCCAGCAGACAAUCCAUGUAAGAAAACUGGUGCAAUCCCGGAUGAGCCAUGAUAGCAAGAACCCUAAGGGGACUGUAACCUACAGGCAGCACCUUUGAAGGGUUAUGUCAUGUAGCAGUAGCCAAGCAGGUGGGACGGUAACAGAGAGAGAAGAGGAGGUCAUCCCCCCA